UUAAGUGUAAUUUAUGCUUCAAGCAUCA
rnacentral:sRNA from 1 species